rnacentral:tRNA from 1 species
GUCCAGGGAUGGGAAUCGAACCCACAUUGUUCCGCUUACCGAGGAGAUGCCAUGUCCUCUAGGCUACCCUGAA